rnacentral:rRNA from 1 species
AUACGGAAGGUGCGAGCGUUAUCCGGAUUCAUUGGGUUUAAAGGGAGCGUAGGCGGAGCGCCAAGUCAGCUGUGAAAUCCCGCGGCUCAACCGUGGAACUGCAGUUGAAACUGGCGCCCUUGAGUGCACAUGAGGAUGGCGGAAUUCGUGGUGUAGCGGUGAAAUGCUUAGAUAUCACGAAGAACCCCGAUUGCGAAGGCAGCUGUCUGGGGUGCCACUGACGCUGAGGCUCGAAAGUGCGGAUAUCAAACAGGAUUAGAUACCCUGGUAGUCCGCACAGUAGACGAUGGACGCUCGUGUUCGGCGACACACUGCCGGUCACCAAGCGAAAGCGAUAAGUGUCCCACCUGGGGAGUACGCCGGCAACGGUGAAACUCAAAGGAAUUGGCGGGG